GGUUGUAGCUCAGUGGUAGAGUACCUGCCUAGCAUAUGUGAGGGACUGGGUUCAAUCCUCAGCACCA
rnacentral:tRNA from 1 species